rnacentral:rRNA from 1 species
AUUGAACGCUGGCGGCAGGCCUAACACAUGCAAGUCGAACGGUAACAGGAAGAAGCUUGCUUCUUUGCUGACGAGUGGCGGACGGGUGAGUAAUGUCUGGGAAACUGCCUGAUGGAGGGGGAUAACUACUGGAAACGGUAGCUAAUACCGCAUAACGUCGCAAGACCAAAGAGGGGGACCUUCUGGCCCCUUGCGCGCGGGUGUGCGCAGAUGGGAUUAGCUAGUAGGUGGGGUAACGGCUCACCUAGGCGACGAUCCCUAGCUGGUCUGAGAGGAUGACCAGCCACACUGGAACUGAGACACGGUCCAGACUCCUACGGGAGGCAGCAGUGGGGAAUAUUGGACAAUGGGCGCAAGCCUGAUGCAGCCAUGCCGCGUGUAUGAAGAAGGCCUUCGGGUUGUAAAGUACUUUCAGCGGGGAGGAAGGGAGUAAAGUUAAUACCUUGGCUCAUUGACGUUACCCGCAGAAGAAGCACCGGCUAACUCCGUG